GUCAGAACAACUGUGGGAGGGGAGGGGGUGCUGGGGCUGCCCUGUGUUUCCCACCACCUUCCUCACCCCGUUUCCUUAGCCACAGGGCACCCCCACCCCCUCAGGGCUCCCCAGGGCUCAAAGGGCCUGGGGCAGCAGGUUGCUGGGCGACGCUGUGGUUGCCAGUGGAUACAUUCCCAUGGGCAUGUGCACACACACACACAGUCUGCACCCUGCUCCUCUUCACUGAAUGAGGCCACCCACACUCAGGGCAGAAGGCUAAGGUGAGUCUACACGUUCCUGUCCUGCAAAGGUCUGGCAUAGCAAGCGGCACCUUCCAAGGGACCCCAGUAAGCUGAGGCACUGAGGAGCUCAGUGACUUGCACAAGUUUUACUGCUGGAAAGCGGUAGAACUGGAAUGGAACUGCUCUACCUGCUCGACACCCAUCCCUGCUGCUCUUCAGUGCCACCCCGAGAGAACCUGCAGGGACUGUUCCGUGUCUGGGCUGCAUCUCCCAGCUGUAAAAGAGGCAGCUUCUGAGCAGGGAGCAGUGCCUGCCCUGGGUACAGCUCAGCUGGGUGCGGGCCCAAGAGCCACAGCCCCGCCCAGUGUCCGGGAGAGGCCCUGGCACUGCCUGUGGUCUGGCCAGGGCCAGCAGGGUGAGUCAGGCAAGCCAGGCAGCCCUCUGGGGCUCUUCGGGGGCUCUUCACAGAAGGACCGACUCCAGGCUGCAUCUGUCCCUCAUGCAGAGGCCACGUGGGAAACAGGAAAACCAAGAUUGCCAAGAUAAACCAGGAGUGCUGGGGGAAUUGCAUCCCUGCUUCCAUGGAGGAGAUGGUCCCCAACUGUGGGUGUUGCUGUGCCUGGGUGUGUCAGUCUGUGGGUGUGUUUGUAUGGAUUCCACCUCAGCACAGAAUUCCUCCUCUUCCUCCAACCACAAAAUCCCCAGAGAGCUGGCAUUUGGGGACAAUCCACAGUGGCUUUAGUGGUUGACCAUGGCUGAGAACAUUUUGGGAAUUCCUGUUCCUUUGUGACCUUAAUCAGAGUUUGUCCUGUUUUGCCUGUGAUCGGGCAAUAAAUUUUCCCACUAAGCACAAGGCCUCAUGUUUUGACCCAAACUCAGCAGCUCCUCAUCCUCAGGACAGUGUCCCGCCAGGAAGGGUGUCUCAGCCACAUCUGCAGAGAUCAGGAGGAGGAAUGAGCCGAAGUGACAUCUGCCAGAGGGGAGACAGCCCAGGGUCUGUGACCACCUGCCAAUGCCUGCCAAGUCUCAGAGAUCACACUAGGAAAACCCUUGUUAGCAAAGAAGAGAGAAAAAGUCACUGCAGGGCAUGCGCCAUGUGAGGAGGUGGAGGGCGGCCUCCAGACCCAUCUCAGCCUUUAUCACCCCCGCUUCAGGCCUUAGACUAGGGCUCACUGUCCAAAGCCACCAAAAUAUCCAGUAAGGAAGCAAGGCAUAUCCGUCAAUCAUGGUCACCCAAUGAAGAUGAGAUUCCAAAAAAUGUUGAGGUCCCCAAAGACCUUGGCAUGGACUUACUGGCAUGCAGACCGGUAUUCAGAACACACAAAUCCGUAGACGCCAGAAGCAGAUGGGUGGUUUGGCUGGGACAAGGGAGGGAAGGGUGUCCAUGCUGGCAGGCACAGGAUUUCUUUCAGGGACACUGAAACUACUCUGGAAUUAGAUGACAACGGUGUGUCACAACUUAGGGAGCACGGAAGGGUGUCAGGGGACUGGCCUCCCAGACACAGUGCUCGGGGCAGGAGGCUGAGGCCAGCCCGGUGUGGUCUGAGCUUCACCUUGGGGAUCUGUCUCCAACUUAGAAUUUAAAUUUAAAAAUUUAAAAUUUUUUAAAUAAAAAUUAAAAACCA